ACUUGCUCUGGGGAAAGCCAGCUGCCAUCAGGUGGGGACACUAGAGGAGCCCCAGGGAGCUCCCAUAUGGCAAGGAACUGAGACCUGCUGCCAACACCCAGGACCAAUUUGCCAUCCAUGAGAGUGGGCCGUCUCGAAAGUGGGAGAAUGUGGUCAGUGUUUCAGCCAGUGCUUGCUGCUGAGGCAGGAGAGAAUAAUUGUGUAAAGAGGGGGCUCCCGCAGUGCAGGACAGGAAGCCACCAUGUGAGCACCACAUCCACGUGCAGGUCGCAGGCUUCAUCAUGUCCUGAAUACCAUGCCUUAGCAUUUUAUCUGUGAAGAUAAGCUAUCAAUUUACAUUGCCAAGGUGAAAUCCAACUGAACUCCUUUAAGAUAAAGAUCUUGAGUCCCAAAAGGAAUUUCCUAGUGGGCAAAUUGUGAGGGAGAUUUCAGGUUUCUACUUCUACAUCUCCAGCCCUGAAUACUCAUGGAAUAUCGCUGUACCUAUGACAGGUUGCAUGAUUUUUCCCCCUCUGUGCACUCAAUUUGUGUAUUAUUGUAUCAUAUGACAUUCUGAAUCAAGUGCUGCUAGUACCAAGCUGCUAUCAUCAGCUGAUGCCAAAAAUAUUCGUUAUAACACUUCUCAGCAUGCAAGUGAGAGCACUUCAAAUCACACAGACAGAAUUUCCAGCCAUUGUUCUUUUCUUCUUUGCUUAUUAUACAGCAACAAGAAUCAAAACAAAAGGGGAUUUAUUAGAAAAUAAUGCUUCAGUAAAAUGUUAUAAAACAUGAGGUUUAUUGUUUGUGAAGAUAGAGUGAAAUUCAGUACCACAUUAUAGAUACCACCUCAGAGGCCUAUUUUCCCCUUCUUUUCUCUUUUCUCAAAUGUUUUUCAAGUGGCAUCUUUUUUUCAGUCUUUGAUUACAUUAAGGUGCAAACUAUUUAUCCAUCUGGAAAUAAGCAAUACUGUCAACAGAGAACCAGGAAAUGAAAAGUGCAGCCGGCCAUAUGCCUUCUCUACGGCCUCUUUAUGUUACUGUGCUGAUCAGGACAAAUGCAGUACCUAUGGUAGCAAUAGGGAGAGUGAAAAUAUGUAUUCUCCAAGGGAAGACAAUUAAAAGACAAAUUCCAUCAGGAAGAUUUGUCAUUUUUUGAGAGUGCUGAUCCUGCAUCUAUCAGCAAAUUUCACAUAAAUUAAUUCAUUUUACAGAGUGAAUGCUGAAACUUGGAAGCCAACUGACAAGAUGCCAGGGAUGGCAUGGCAAGGAAGAGAGAGCCUUCAUGGCAAUUUUGAAUACCUGAUCUCUUGCUUUCAUCAUCUUGUCUAGGGGAAGAAACACGGAGCCUGGUAGUUGGGAGGUGAGAGGCAGGAAUGGAUACCAGAGAUGGACAGACAGUGGGGUGGUGAGAAGGGAGCUGCAAUUUGCUAAUCCUUGUAGUACUACCUGUCAAUCAUCUUGCUUUCCUUAAUCAUCGAUCCUGGAGAGACUUUGAGGAAAGGGCUGGUGGAGUUGCGCAGAUGUGAUCUUCAUUUCAGCCUUAUGAAUACAUACCAAGGUCUCUUUAAAUCUGUGGUUCCUGCACAAAGUGCUGUGACUUCAGGCUAAUAGAGAGGUCCAGAUGUCACAUGUGCCAAUUAGAAAGAAAUGAGGACCAUGGCUAUGGCCCACUGUGUUCAGAAGACACGCCCAAGCCACCCAUUGUCAUUCAUUGUGUCUAAUACUUGACCUGUCCUGCUGUUUAUUAUGUGGGGUGGCUCCAUAUUUUAAAAACUGUAUUCAUAAAAAGAUAUUUCUCAUCCUGCUGAGUCUCAGGCCCAUUGUUGUAGGUGAGGUGGUUUCUUUUGUUUGAUAUAUAACGUUUUGCUGACUUUCGACUUGGGAAUUGCAAAGGCUUACCCAAAACCCUGAAGGAAAAGCUAAGAAUUCAUACUUAUUAAGCACUUGGUAGGUGUCUGACACUGUAGUAGAUAUAUGCGAGAGCCCAGAACAAGCUGAUGUCCAUGUACAUAUCUUUAAAAAAUAUAAUGAUCUAGUCUUAUCUGUGGAAACUGCUUCAGAUACUGAUCUUACUCUUUCCUGUUACAUCAGAAAUUCUGGAAGGUAAUAUCCUGAAAGAUUUAUCCUCAAGAAUAACAAUACAUUAAAAUCUUCUGCUUUG
rnacentral:lncRNA from 1 species